CCUACGGGUGACAGCAGUGAGGAAUAUUGGUCAAUGGACGAGAGUCUGAACCAGCCAAGUAGCGUGAAGGAUGACUGCCCUAUGGGUUGUAAACUUCUUUUAUAUGGGAAUAAAACGUUCCACGUGUGGGAUUUUGUAUGUACCAUAUGAAUAAGGAUCGGCUAACUCCGUGCCAGCAGCCGCGGUAAUACGGAGGAUCCGAGCGUUAUCCGGAUUUAUUGGGUUUAAAGGGAGCGUAGGUGGAUUGUUAAGUCAGUUGUGAAAGUUUGCGGCUCAACCGUAAAAUUGCAGUUGAAACUGGCAGUCUUGAGGACAGUAGAGGUGGGCGGAAUUCGUGGUGUAGCGGUGAAAUGCUUAGAUAUCACGAAGAACUCCGAUUGCGAAGGCAGUUCACUGGACUGCAACUGACACUGAGGCUCGAAAGUGUGGGUAUCAAACAGGAUUAGAUACCCUUGUAGUC
rnacentral:rRNA from 1 species